rnacentral:rRNA from 1 species
CCUACGGGAGGCAGCAGUGGGGAAUUUUGGACAAUGGGCGAAAGCCUGAUCCAGCCAUUCCGCGUGCAGGAUGAAGGCCCUCGGGUUGUAAACUGCUUUUGUACAGAACGAAAAGGUUUCUACUAAUACUAGGAGCUCAUGACGGUACUGUAAGAAUAAGCACCGGCUAACUACGUGCCAGCAGCCGCGGUAAUACGUAGGGUGCAAGCGUUAAUCGGAAUUACUGGGCGUAAAGCGUGCGCAGGCGGUUAUAUAAGUCAGAUGUGAAAUCCCCGGGCUCAACCUGGGAACUGCAUUUGAGACUGUAUAGCUAGAGUACGGUAGAGGGGGAUGGAAUUCCGCGUGUAGCAGUGAAAUGCGUAGAUAUGCGGAGGAACACCGAUGGCGAAGGCAAUCCCCUGGACCUGUACUGACGCUCAUGCACGAAAGCGUGGGGAGCAAACAGGAUUAGAUACCCUGGUAGUCCACGCCCUAAACGAUGUCAACUGGUUGUUGGGUCUUAACUGACUCAGUAACGAAGCUAACGCGUGAAGUUGACCGCCUGGGGAGGACGGCCGCGAGUAGUAACGUACGAAGAAGUUAGACGGCGUGAGACGUGCCGACGGACGACGACGAGGGAGGAGG